AUGGCCUCCUCCGCCGACGAGUCCCUGCCGUCGCUGCCGCCGAUCAAGACGGCGCCUUCGCGGCCCUCCGACGCCGCCUCGGCCUCUCCGUCGCCGGCGUCGUCCACGCAGGAGUCGGCGGCAGCGGAGGACAAGACGACGAAGGCUGCAGCGGCGGAGCAGGAGGAGAAGGCUCCGUCGACGCCGACGUCGAAGGAGUGCAGGAUCCUGCUGCCCGAGGAGUGCCCAGCGGCGCCGCGCAAGCCGCCGGUGCCCCGGCUUCCGGCGCUGAAGCGGAAGUCGCGGCCGACGCUGACGGCGACGACGACGGCACGGGUGUGCCUCACCGUCCCGCGGGACCUCUCCACCGUGUUCCGGUCGAUGCCCAUGCCCGUGCCCGCCGAGAAGCGGAUCCGGGCGUCCAUGUGUGCUUCCUUCUGCCAUGGCUAUGUGAAAUUCUCAUGCAAGCUGUAUAAUAAGCCAGUAGUAUCAGAAAUUCAGAAUUGUGCAAUUAUCUUCAUUCCCCUUAUGUCAGCCAGAAUCCUCUUGUUGUCAAUCGAUCGGCGCUCAGAACAUCCAUGGCGGAUGCGGCCGGCUGCCUGCUGCAGCUGCAUGAAGGACGAGACGAGGCGACUAAUCAAUUCGGAUUUGGGUGCGGCGGGCGUGCUUUCUGGUGGUGCCGCCGUCCGGCCCGACGCCGAGAGAGAAGAGACACGGAGAAUCUUCCAUGCUAAUCGGGACAUGACACAGCUUCCUUCCCCCUCUCCUUUUCUCUUCUCCGGCCGGUCCAGUGGUGAAUUAUUUUCUCUUCUGAAGAUCUUCAUUUGUCUCUACCGUAACAGCCUGCGCGUACUGCGCAGUGCGCGCCUCCAAAAUCCGGCAGUCUUAAUUUGUCCCUACCGCAACAGUAGCUUCCAGUCGAUCGUAGGAACAGACGGCAUGCAGGCGACGUAUGCAGGGCCAUCGUCCAGAGUCUGCCCUCAGGGGCUUUUUGUCCGGUGCUGCAUUUGGUCACCACGGCUUCUGGCCUUGCUCCAAGCCAUAACUGGCGGCAGUAACACACAAUUACGCAUGCCACAUGUGGCCACCUGUCUGCCACACCGUAUGGUUGGUACUAGGUGCAUUGGGUGCCAUGAAAACCAAGGCCCAAGAACUUGUUACGGGCGGUGCUGCUGCUGCGCCGAGGAACAGGCCUCGGUGCGCUUUUAUCAGUCAGUCCUGCUCCUAGGAGCAGCCGGUGAGCUGACGCCGCCGGCGGCCGGCAGAUCAGAUCAUGCACCCCCGAAUCCACCUUUCUUUACAUAG
rnacentral:rRNA from 1 species